rnacentral:rRNA from 1 species
AGCGAACGCUGGCGGCAGGCCUAACACAUGCAAGUCGAACGAAGUCUUCGGACUUAGUGGCGGACGGGUGAGUAACACGUGGGAACGUGCCUUUAGGUUCGGAAUAACUCAGGGAAACUUGUGCUAAUACCGAAUGUGCCCUUCGGGGGAAAGAUUUAUCGCCUUUAGAGCGGCCCGCGUCUGGUUAGCUAGUUGGUGAGGUAAAAGCUCACAAAGGCUACGAUCAGUAGGUGGUCUGAGAGGAUGAACAGCCACAUUGGGACUGAGACACGGCCCAGACUCCUACAGGAGGCAGCAGUUGGGAAUCUUGCGCAAUAGGCGAAAGCCUGACGCAGCCGUGCCGCCUGGAUGAUGAAGGUCUUAGGAUUGUAAAAUCCUUUCACCGGUGAAGAUAAUGACUGUAGCCGGAGAAGAAGCCCCGGCUAACUUCGUGCCAGCAGCCGCUGUAAAAC